GAUGAAGAACGUAGCGAAAUGCGAUAAGUAAUGUGAAUUGCAGAAUUCAGUGAAUCAUCGAAUCUUUGAACGCACAUUGCGCCCAUUAGUAUUCUAGUGGGCAUGCCUGUUCGAGCGUCAUUAAGUCCACUUAAGCCCUGCUUAGUGUUGGGAGACUGCUCCAGCGGUGCUACCCUGUAGCUACCCUGCAGCUCCUCAAAGACAGCGGCGGAGUUGUGGUAUCCUCUGAGCUUAGUAACUUGUUCUAGCUUUCGAGUACACCACUUCCCCUGCCGUAAAACCCUUAAUUUUUAAUGGUUGACCUCGGAUCAGGUAGGAAUACCCGCUGAACUUAAGCAUAUCAAUAAGCGGGAGGA
rnacentral:misc_RNA from 1 species